rnacentral:lncRNA from 1 species
GCGACCUUCUUCUUUUCGUCGACAAAGAAACUCCCACCUUUAAACAGAAAGUGAAAUCCGGUGAGUUCUUUCAUAUCAACCGAUAGGAACAACUUGUUCCACGACACAGCAUGGGGCUCAAUCUUGCUACUAAUCCAUAUCUUCACGGUAAAUGCAGGUGCACCAUAUUGUUGAAAUAGAACCGCAAGAUGCUCUUCUCUAACACUAGAUACAGUCACAGCAUCUCCAUAAAAAGCAUGAAAAGGCAGAGGAAGACGCGGUCCAAAUCUCUCCAUUGUAAAAUCAAAACAUAGUAAGAAAUCAGGGAUAUCUGAUAUAUCUCCUCCCACUUCUCCUUGUGCUGAAGUUGGAAUCUUCUCUUGAGCAAACCAGUAAGUGUUGCCCAUAAGAGACACACCACGCUGAUGAUACUCUAUAUCCCAGUCCGGAUUGACAUCAACAACCUUCCAAGAAUCAGAGUUUAAAUCGUAAAUUUCAAAUUCACGAAGCUUCACUUUUAUAGUGUAGUCGUAAUCAUCUAGAAAUCUCAAGACUUACCAAGCGAGUACUUGUCAUUCUUCUCGUAUCCUAGAGCGUACCGGUCAAACAAUUUGUGGUAAGAAUUCAUGGGUUUGAUCCACCUGGUUUGCCCCGAACAAGGGUUCCAAACAACAAGACUAGAUCUAUCUUUGGUGACGCAUAACAGUAAACCGUCGCAGUGAAAGAUUUUAGAUAUCUCUACACGAUCAGCAUCCUCUAGGCCAAUAAGGUUACCUAUACGCUCUAUAGAUGGCGUGUAGAGAUUGACGCUAAAUAAACAAACCCUAUACUGAAUCAUCAUGACCACCUGAAACUGCUCUCUGUGAUAAUUCUUUGCUGCUGCUUUUGCUUUACCGACGUGCUUCAUUGUAAAGCUCCGGUUUUGCAUGUAGAUCGCACUCCUCUCAGUGAUGUCACCGGAAGCCUAGAGAGCACCUCCUCCGCCAAAUCCCUUGGAAGAUUGGAUAUCAUCGUGGUCCUUGUGUUUCAAGAAACCCUUUAGGUCUUGUUCUGAUUUCUUCCGGAUAUAUGAGAAGGGUUUUUUUUCCUCAUGAUCACAUAAUAGGCACUUCAUGAUCUCAUCCUAUUCCACCGGAGUGAAACAGUUUGCGAAGAUAAAGGAGAACGAGUAAACACUAGCUAGCAGUUACCUAUUUUAAGAUCAGAAAAGAGUAUUUGUGGUGGUGUCAUUGAUCUUAGAUUUAUAUAUUUAUUGUGAUAAAGUCUCAAAGUAAGAACAUAAUCCAGUAGCCUUUUUGGUCAAGACUCGAGAACCACAAUGAAAGGCAAAUUUUUCGUUAACGACCAGAAGAUUAACACAUUUGCUUAUGCAUUAUGCAGUAGCUUUUACUUAAUUUUAGUAGUAUAAUAGUAUCAAAUUUCGUGUUUUCAAAAGAAGAUUUUAAAUAACAUAGAAAUAGCCCCAUUGUUUUCAAUUUCAACUAAUUAGCAAUGCUAAAAUAUAAUGUAGACUUUGAUCACUUGGGUAUUUGGAUACGAUAUCCGUUAACUAAAACUGAAAGAUGAACAGAGUAAAGAAAACAGAGGCCAUAUUGAGAAACCAACCAUUGUCGAGAUACAAAACACGAGAAAUACAAGUUGAUAGAUUAGGGUGGUGCAGCUUGCUUGAUUUGCACUGAGCUUGGCACAUACGAGCACACAAGUGGCCAACAACGUGCCUCUGUAGACUCGCCAAGAUCCACUUUUUUGAAGUAUCCUUUCUUUCCAAUGAUAUAAGCUAUGUUGCGAGUGGGAAAAGAUUUGCCUCUGUCUUUAUCAAGAAUCACUGCGACCUUCUUCUUUUCGUCGACGAAGAAACUCCCACCUGUAACCAGAAACUGAGAACCCAAACCGGUGUGUGGUUUCAUAUCAAACUUUAAGAACAACUUGUUCCAAGAGACCGCAUCGGGCUCAAUCUUGCUACUAAUCCAUAUUUUCACGGUAGAUGCAGGUGCACCACAUUGUUGAAAAAGAACCGCAAGAUGCUCUUCUCUGACACUAGAUAGAGUCACAGUAUCUCCAUAAAUAGCGUGAAAAGGCAGACGCAGACGAGGUCCAAAUUUCUCAGUUGUAAAAUUAAAACAUAGUAAGAAAUCAGGG